AUUUCCGUAGUGUAGUGGUCAUCACGUUUAUAUGCCAAAGGUCCCCAGUUCGAAACUGGGCGGAAACA